CCUACGGGCGGCAGCAGUGAGGAAUAUUGGUCAAUGGACGAGAGUCUGAACCAGCCAAGUAGCGUGAAGGAUGACUGCCCUACGGGUUGUAAACUUCUUUUAUAUAGGAAUAAAAUGUGCCACGUGUGGCUUUUUGUAUGUACUUUAUGAAUAAGGAUCGGCUAACUCCGUGCCAGCAGCCGCGGUAAUACGGAGGAUCCGAGCGUUAUCCGGAUUUAUUGGGUUUAAAGGGAGCGUAGGUGGGUUGUUAAGUCAGUUGUGAAAGUUUGCGGCUCAACCGUAAAAUUGCAGUUGAUACUGGCAGUCUUGAGUACAGUAGAGGUAGGCGGAAUUCGUGGUGUAGCGGUGAAAUGCUUAGAUAUCACGAAGAACUCCGAUUGCGAAGGCAGCUCACUAGACUGCAACUGACACUGAGGCUCGAAAGUGUGGGUAUCAAACAGGAUUAGAUACCCUGGUAGUC
rnacentral:rRNA from 1 species